UGUCCCUGACAUGGCUUGUCACUUGAAAAUAAAAAGAACAAACUGAUACAAUACCUUGACAUUCAACACCUUAUGUUAUAACUUUGUUUCAGCUGCAAGUAUCAUUCAUCUGUGAAACAUGCAUAGGGACACACAUCAUUUUUCUGGAGUUAUGUAGAAUCACGUUUUCCAAACUGGCAAAGCAUCACACAGUCUCACUGAAGGAGAAUUUAUAAAGAUGUGAAGAGUUUCAGGCAACUAGUCCCUCUUGUUCAACUGUUCAGUGCUAAAUUCAAGAAACAGCCAAUAGUGUUUCAGAUAAGUGGCAGACACUACAGUAGGGACUGAUGUGCAAGUGAGUAUUGACAGUAGCGGUCUGCAGUGGAAGAAUCUCACUUUCACGGCUACAGAUGGUGCAGUUGCUGUGCUUGACCAAAAAAUCAAUUUCUUGGCACUUUUAUAGUAGAUACUGAAAUUGUUUCCUAUGCCACAUCACAGUUUUGCAAUAAACUACUUUUCUUCUCAAAGAGCAUUUCUGUGUGUGAACAUGAGGAAAGCAAUGAGUGUGGUGACUUGAGCAGCAAAUUCCAUCCACAAUCACGCUCUCAAACAUUACCAGUUCAGAGCCUUUUUGGAAGACUUGGAAAGUAGUUAUUGGGUCAUGCCAUAUCACAAUGAAAAGUACAGGUUGAUCUGAGGUAAGUCCUUGAGAGAUUUUUUGAGCUUUGGAGAGAAGUAGGUAUAUUUAUGAGCAUGUGUGGUAAGCCUGUCGCAGAACUGAAAAAGAAAUGGUUACUAAUAAAUAUGUCGUCCUCCUGUGACAUUACACUUGUAUAAAUGUUUUGAAUUGUUUGUACAUGACAUUGGGAGUUCCAGGCACGUUUCAGUGUCAUAUGGCAGUUAUUGUUGUAUCCAUGCAGAUGAUGAAUAAUAGUGGUGAUAGGGAGGAACCCGGACAGACCUCAGCAGUGAUAUCAAAAGGCAGAGAAAUUCCAGCUAAACUCUAGAUGCAAUACAGAAGCCUUGCUCAGCUUACAUAAGUCUCUAUAACUCAAAUGACAAUGCUGUUCUGGGAUUAAUUUUUUCUCUGAUGAAGAAGAAGAACCACAACAACAACAACAACUACUACUACUACUACUACUACUACUACUACUGAUGACUCAGCCUUAUUUUCAAGUAUGUUAUACAAGGAGACCUGGCUUGGAUUUAAAGGGUGUUUUUAAAACAAAUUCAAGUAAUACUCAACAAAAAACUGAAGUAACUAACAGCUGUGAGUGAUAGCUAACUGGAAAAAGUGCAUAUACUCUGAAAUUAAAUCUUUCAGUAAAAUUUAACAAAAUCGGAUUUCCCUCAAUUUCCUGUAUGACAUAAUAAAUAUAACAACCUCAAAUAGAA